CACACCGCCCGUCACAUCACGAAAGCCAGUUGUACUAGAANCCGGUGAUUCAACCGCAAGGGGAUAGCCGUCCAAGGUAUGGCUGGUGAUUGGGGUG
rnacentral:rRNA from 1 species